UACGUAGGGUGCAAGCGUUGUCCGGAAUUAUUGGGCGUAAAGAGCUCGUAGGCGGCUUGUCGCGUCGGCUGUGAAAACCUGGGGCUCAACCCCGGGCCUGCAGCCGAUACGGGCAGGCUAGAGUUCGGUAGGGGAGAUCGGAAUUCCUGGUGUAGCGGUGAAAUGCGCAGAUAUCAGGAGGAACACCGGUGGCGAAGGCGGAUCUCUGGGCCGAUACUGACGCUGAGGAGCAAAAGCGUGGGGAGCGAACAGG
rnacentral:rRNA from 1 species